rnacentral:misc_RNA from 1 species
UCUCCGUUGGUGAACCGGCGGAGGGACCAUUACAGGACUCGCAAGACUCCUUCACCCUGUGAACCUCACUACAAGCACGUUGCUUCGGCGGGUGUCCCGGCGGGGGUUUUCCCUCGCCGGGGCGCACAGCCCGCCGGCAGCCUACUAUACUCUGUCUCUUUGCGUUGGCAUCUCGAGAAAAGACAAACAAGUUAAAACUUUCAACAACGGAUCUCUUGGUUCUG